rnacentral:piRNA from 1 species
UAUAACAUGCUUAUAUUUGUGAUGUGGA